UGCAAGUAGUGGAAGCUGAAAUAUAUUUGGAACCUUCCAAAAGAGAAUAGGAUAAUGGUUCGCAGCAAUGACCUUCCAAAUAUUUUUUUUGCACACAAGGUAUAUUUCCAUCAACACAUACAACAAAAGGUUUAUAUUUUUUUCACUUGCCUUUUGCGUUGAGAGUGUUGUGCAGACCGAGAAAACAACAAAAGGUGCUAAUGCAGCUAUCAGACUGCUCAAGGUGGUUUUCUUAGUUGGUUGGGUGCUAGUGAACUAUAUGUAAGAGUGCUCAAAUUCAUUUCAUAUGUUCCUCUUUUUUGUCUUUUUUUUCAUGGGUGACGAGGNAUUCCUGCCAACGGCAACUUUGGUUUUGUCUAUUAGGCUAGAAAUAAAGUAUUUUUGAUGUGCGUGAAAAACCAUAACAAUGACUUAACUCUUGCUACAAUUGUAAGUUGGGAUCCUAAAUUUAAACUUCAUGGUGGUGACAUUAUAAAUUAAUUCAGGACAGUGCAUGUUGCUAUGGCACUUGCGAAAACUGAAAAUUUUGUAUGGUGUCUCAAAAACUGCAUUACUCUUGAUAAUGCAAAAAAACAAACAAUGAUUGCAUGGCCUUCAACAAUUGUACAUGACUAAUACCUUGCCUUUAUUACAACUUGCAUCAUCUAAAUACAUUGUGUGUUAACUGUUCAUUUUGUUUUCUUUUUUGUAGGUUCAAAAGAUAAAUGGAUGAGUAUAUAUGGGUGGGUGGCAAGUAUACUUCAAUGAGGAUGUUGAUUUUCUGGAUCAUGGUGAUGAUGAUGGAUGAUUUCAGUUUUAUUUAAGUAGUAGGGAUGUCGUUCCCGUUGGAUGUUGUUUGUCGGUCUAGUUUUGGUUAAGUUGUAGGGAUGUUGAUGGAUGCUUUCAGUUUAAGUUUCACUCGCAAGAAAAUAGUUAGAUUAUGCAUCACAUUUGGAUGAUGUUCCUCAUGUAAUUUCCAAUAUUGUAAUCUAACAUUUUUAUGUAAUAUAUGAUUUCUUUCUCUCGU
rnacentral:lncRNA from 1 species